UUUAGCUUUCUGACGUAUGAUUUAGUCCUUACAGAAACACCCUGACAGGAAAAUGUAAGAAGUGAUGGAUGAUUUUUAUUAGGCAGGUUUUUUUAGACUAUACAAACCACACCACAUGAGUGACUCACAUGGGUGAAUGGUUUCUCUCAAGUAUGAAGUCUCACGUGAAGCUCAAGACUCUCUUCCCACACUUCUCUCCGGCGUGGAUUCUCAUGUGUACCAUAAGAUUUGAUGAUUGUGUGAAGCUCUUCCCACACUGAUCACAUGUGAAUGGCUUCUCCCCAGUGUGAACACUCAUGUGAAGCACAAGGUUGUCUUUCCUUGAGAAACGCUUUCAACAUUAAGUGCAGCAAACACUAGCGCUCCCAGAUGGUCAAACACUGCCUGCUUGCAAAUGAUGUUCUCUUCUUUAGGAUGAAAAGGAGAAGAUCAGCAAAUCAAUGGUAAAUGCACUUGCUCUUUCUUUUGGUUGUUUUCAUGCCUUAUCUCCUCCUUGCCACUGCUGCUGUGGAUUUUCUUGGCUCUUGUUGCUGCCCUCUACUGGAACAAAGUGGAUAUUGAAACCACAAGUUGUCAAAGCUGCAUUAUUUUUCUUAAAAACUUGUAUUUUACAACACUCGAAGCUUUUACCCAUUACCUCAUUAUUUCCCACUUGUUAUUUCACCGGCUUGUUGAUUCCAGAGAGAGUUUACGGAGAUCACCAGAUCUCGAAACGUGGGUCUGUGCUGAAGAGCUCUGGAUUCAAUUCUGUUCUCGAAGAGCCUACAGAUACAAACACAUAUUAUAUAUGAUAUUAGCUACAACCUGCUGCCUUAAUUCCUCAUCUGUAAAUCGCUUUGGAUGAAAGCAUCUGAUAAAUGAAUACAUGUAAAACACACUUAACAUCAUUAAUGAUUUUCACUCUGUCGCACAUGACAAUAUAAACUAUCCGUUACAAUUUGAACACACUUGACAGAUUUUUAUGUCUACAAGCUUUGAUCUAAAGGCUUUGCUUAAAUUUAGCUGACAAGUAUACAUUGUCUCUUUAAAUUUAUUUCGUAAUAAAAAAAAUAGAUAUUUUGAGAUUUUAAUAAGUUUAAAUAACUUUGGGCUAGAUUGUGAGACUCAGACACGCACCAUACUGUCUGUAUGUUACUGCUGUGAGUGACGAUCCGGUGGAUUUUCCUCGCCCCAGUGUCAGUGAUGCUAUUGCUACUGAAACUGAAAGAAAGAAAAAGAAAGAAAAAAAACUGAAUUUAACAACUAACAUAUUGCUACUUACUAGGCAAUCACAUAAUAAUUGCUGUUAAUAGUGUUCGUCUGGUUGAGAGCAUCUUGUAUUCAUUUUUCUGAAAAUUCCUGUCAUAUGGACAUAAAAUGACAGUCACCACUGAUAAGAUACUACUAAAUAUUGUAAAAACUGAAUUUUCUGUAGAGUUGAAUUGAACAACUAUUACAUUCUACUAGAGUGAUUUUCUAGAGUCAGCAAACAGUACACUGACUGAACUGCUGUGAAGAGAGAACUGAAGAUGAACACAGAGCCGAGCAAGAUAAUGACUUGUUCUCGAGUCAAGAACCAUUU